rnacentral:lncRNA from 1 species
AACCCGCAUCCUCAUGGAGACAAUGUUGGGGCCUUAACCUGCUGAGCCACAAUGGGAACUCCCCAGCAGGACUUUUGUGACAAUUAGUGUUAAUGGAUGGAUAUAAACUCCUAUCAACCAUUCACCCUGUUAAUUCAUAUAUUAUUUAAUGAAUAUUUAUCUAAUGAAAGGAAGCUGGGCAGAGAGCAGCUGGUCUAUGUUGGGGGCAGUGGAGCAUACAGGUUCACUUAUCGUGCUUAACAUCCCUAACCUACUCCCCUCAUCUAUCCAGCCCUGGCCUCUGUCGUUCUGCACACUCCCUGAGCCUUCAGGAGUGUCAGGGCUGUGCCUCCUGGGGAGCAUAGGCAGGCUGGUGUGAUGAGAAAAGAGUUUUUCCAAGUCAUGUUCAUGCAAGAGAAUACUUCAAGACUGAAAGUUUUAAAAUUCUUUUAUUAAUCUACUCAGUUAAGAGUGACAAGCAGGGUUCUAAAAACAUGGAGUUAUUUUAUCUACGAUCCAUUUUCCAGUAAGUGACUACCCAGUUAGCUGAAGCACAAGAAUAGGUAAUGGCUUUGUUUUCCUAAGAUGUAGUCAUUCCGAUUAUUUUUAGAUGAAUGAUUCGGAGCCAGAAGUAUAACUCAUAAUUAUGUUGCUAUGAUUCUACAACCAGUUGUUUGGUGGAAUUAGUUUGACCGUGACAACUUUAAAGUCACCACAUUUUCUGAAAAAAAUCAGCAGAUAAAAACUGAAAAUAAAAGAUUCCAUGACACGAAGUGCUGUUUCCUGCUAUUAUCUCACAUCUUUCUCCUCUGAAGCUUGCCUGCUGCCUUCCCUUAGGCUCUUUCCUGGUUUCCAGCUCUUACAAGGCUCCCCCAGGUACUUAAGCCCACUGACAAACCACCGAAUGCUCCAGGAAGCAUUCCUAAAGACCCCAGCCUGAGGAGCUGCUCUCUUCCUCUUAAUUCAUGCAUUGAUUGUGGAUUGGCUACAGCCUUCCUUAGAACUCCUCAUUCUCUCCCUUGAAUUUUGGUUUAUUUUCAAAUAAAUCUCAUUAUUUCCAAAGCUAGUUUUGGUCUAUGUAAAAAUUUUACAUUACAAAAAUUAUAUAUCAAUAUUAUCAAAAAUUUGGAAGAGAGAGGAAAGAAAAAUAUUCAUAAUCUCAUUAUCUUAACACUAACUCUGUACUCAUCAUUUUAGGGUGUUUUUUCUUAAGCUUUUUUUCUAUGCUUAUUUUUUCACUGAUUUAAUUCCAGUGUCUGUGCAAUUUCACAGUUUGACUUUUUUGCAACUAAUGCUACAUCACCACCAUUAUGGUAAUUGCUAUAUAGUUUUCAUAAAUGUUACUUUAAAGCCUGUGUAAUGUUGACUACUAUCAACAUUUUAGAUUGUUAAUUAUAGUCCACUAUUAUAAAUGGUACUGCAGUUGACAUCUUUAUGCAUGUAGUUUUCUCAGUGUGUGUAUUAUAUGUAUACAUGCAUGUGUAUUUCAAUUUUUUUUUCCCUUAAGCUAGUAUCCCAAAAGGAAAAUUACCGAAUCAAAGAGUAUGAUUAUUUUUAAGGUUUUUGAAACAUAUUGCUAAAUUGGUUUUCUAAAGAGUUGGACCAGUUUAUAUUACCAGAAACAUAUGAGAGUAUCAGUUUCUCCAGACUUUUACCAAAAUUAUUUCUUAAUUAUUAGUCUUCAUAUAAUCAAAAUAAGAUGACAUUUGUUCACGGUUUAAAUUUUUUACUAAAGCAUACAGAAAAGUAUGGAGGAAAAAAUUAGUCCAUGGCCCUGAUUUAUCGAAUUUUAAUACAUUCCCAUUGUACUAGUUUGUACUACAUUGUACUAGUUUUAUAAAAAUAAAAUAUUACAUAUAUAGUGAAGUCUUUGUGUACCCCUUCCCAGUUCUACUCUCUGUACACUUUUACAGAGACGACUGGAACUGGAUGUUUACUGUUCUUUGCAUUUCCGUAUCUUUUAAUUGUUAAAUCUUUGACUACUAACAAAGUUAAACUUUUUCCUAUGGCAUAGCUACUAUGAAAGUUCUUAGGUUCUAGAGUCAGGUAUAACUGGCUUUGAGUUCCUGCUCUGCUUCUUGCUACUCAUGUCUCCUUGAACCUCUCUGUGCCUCAGUUUCCUCAUCUAGAAAAUGGAGAUAAUAAUCAUUCCUACUAUUGUUUAUGUUGCUGUGAAGCUUAACUAUGACAGUUCAGGUAAAAUUCUUGGCCCAGGGCCCAGCACUCGAUAAAGCCUUUCACUAUUACUCUAGUUUCUCUUUUGAAUUGCCCGCUCCUUGUUCUUCUGGAAAAGAUUAGCUUACAACCUGUGACACACUUUAUCAAAUAUGAUCGUAUUUACUCUUCACGACAGCUCUGUGAGAUAGUAUUGCGGUGAUCCCAUUUGAUAAAUGAGGAAACGGAGCCUGAAUGGUCCAUAGGCUAGCAGGGAGCAGAGCUGUGUCUGAACUCGGUCUCAGGAGCAGGCAGCUCACUGCCCUUCUGUGCUGCUGCCCCUUCACCUCUGAAACUAGACAUGCUUUUUCAUGAUACGAUAUCACAUCACGAGCCCAUAAGGUAGUUUUAGCACAGUUCUGUAACACAGUCAUUACAGAUGGAUCCCAGUUUCUGUAUUUAUAAUUGUUUUCUUUUUCUAUCUUUUCUGAAUAUUCUGCAAGAAAUAUUUAUUGCUCUUAUAAAACCAGAUAUGCUUCUAAAUGCAUCAAAAACGUUGCCAGGAGUUUCCGUAGCAGUUCAGUAGAAGCGGAAACAAUCCGACUAGGAACCAUGAGGUUGCGGGUUUGAACCCUGGCCUUGCUCAGUGGGUUAAGGAUCCAGCAUUGCUGUGAGCUGUGGUGUAGGUUGAAGAUGCAGCUAGGAUCUGAUGUUGCUGUGGCUGUGGUGUAGGCUGGCAUCUGUAGCUCUGAUUUGACCCAUAGCCUGGGAACCUCCAUAUGCCAUGGGUGCGCCCCUAAAAAAGCGUUAAAAAAAAAGUUACCAGUUAUGUAAUAUGAUUAUAUUAUAUUGACAAUAUUAGAGAUUUAAGAUCUCUAGGCUUGGUAUUGCCUUUUUUCUGAAUUUUUAAAAAUAAGUCAAAGUAAAGAUCUUAAGCAAUUUCUGCAUCCAAAUUUCAGUGCCUGAAUGUAUGAAUCUAAAACAUUCUAAUUAAAAUAACCUCAAAAUGAUCCACUGUAUUUAAUAGGUAGCUAGAGUAAUAUGAACAUUGUAUGAUUUAUGAAAACUUAAUUUUAAAAGAAAAAUGUUACUAAAAUGUAUUUAUAAACCAUAAGUCAUGAAACUUUAUCUUGUAUUGUUUUUUUUUUUGAGGCACAAGAAAAAAGAAUAUUUUUUUUCUUUUUACAGCUGCACCUGAGGCAUAUGGAAGCUCCUGGGCUAGGAGUCGAACUGGAGCCGCAUCUAAGCCCCAGCCAUGGCAACACCAGAUCCUUAACCCACUGAGCUAGGCGAGGGGCCAAACCAGCAUCCUUACAGAGACAACGUCGGGUCCUUAACCUUCUGGGCCGCAACAGGAACUCCGGGAACAUUUUUUAAGGUGAUAUUUUAUGGUAAUGAUAUUUUUCUCAGUUUGUCAAUACUCGUUUUUCCUUUGAACACACUGAUGUUGCUCAUAUUAAGUGACAUUCUCCUUAUCAUAUCUAAGAUUCAGAGAACCCAAAAGGGGUGGGUGUUAAUGAGGAGUCACACCCAACAUGACAAACCCCCAGGCAUGGCAGAAUGAGGUACCAUUAAUGGCAACUAGAGGACCAGAGAGUACCUCAAGACUCAGGAAAAGUGUGUUAUGGACACAAGGUUAUGCCAAGGCUAUUUACUGAACUAAACACUGAAGUAUUUUGAAAAGACCAAUAUAGAGCCUGCCAAUCUAAGUCCAGUGUUUGUUUUGGUUUUACUCCAACAGGAGAAUAAUCUGGUUCUUUUUUUUUUUUUUUUCUCCCAGAAAACACAGGGUUCAGGUAAAUGGCAGUAUGGGAGUCUAUAAAAACCAUCACUUUAUAAAUGACAGUCUGCCUGUCACCUGGCGAUCUGCCAAUUCUCCCAGCUAUUCACUGGAGCAAUACUCUGAGUCUGGCCUCUUGCCAGUGUCUGAAAAGGGCUCAAGCCAUGGGAGCUUCUCUGUGGCUCUCACUGCAGGUCUCCUUUCGUGGACCUUUUCCAGGAGGGUGGCAGUCACUUCAGCAGAAAGCCACCUCGCAACCCACGAAGUUUACCUCUUACUGGAGACUGUGUUAGCAGACGAAUGCCCCCACAUUCCAAAAUAUUUUAAGGAAAUUCAUCAUAAGCCUCUGGAUGAAAAGGCAACAGAAAAACUACAGUGCCUGGUAGGUCCUUACAGGGGGAUAAAUACCUCUGCCCUGAGGUAUUUCACAGAGUUGCACAUGCUCAUCUGCUAACUACGACUCAUUUCCUUUAUGAAAUUUUAAGCAAUCUGUUCUAAGAGAUGGUAUGGAAGAAGAUGAAAAUUCCUUUUUAAAAAAACAAUGUGUUAAAACCCAAACUCAAAAUCAGAGCAAAAAUACAUUGCUCUUCUCUGCUUGGAUUUUCUAGAAACAGCUUCAGGCAGCAGGGUGAAUUCCGGGGGCCGUUUUAGGGCAAGCCGGGGUGGGAUUAGAUGUUCCAGCCUGUACAGUUCUCCUAAGCCUGCCAUGAUCUGUAACUUAGCUCUUGGGCCUGGGCCAGAACCAGACCAACAUUCAAGGGUGAGCAAAGAAGGCAGCCGCCUUUGGGCAACUGCUGUGCAGAAUUCUCUGGAUAAUGCCUUUCACUCUGUUCUCCCCAACACUGGUCAAACACCCUCAAUCCAUCCUCUGCUUCCUUAGCGUCACUGUAGGUCUCUCCUGCUGAAGUUACAUACCUUUUUAAGAUUAUGAAAAUAAAUGCUAACCAUGCUAUUUUUGGGUCUCAGUUGAAAACAAUUAUCCUUUAGCAAUUUUCACAGUAUAAAUAAGGCUAAAGUUUGCUCUAUAACUUCAUUAAGAGAGUAUCUGUAAUGGGGGAAAAAGUACCAAAUUAUUUAAUGUAAAGAUUUAUAUAACAUCCCAACUAGGAAAAUGUCAUAUAAAUUUAUGUAUAUCAUAUAUGUAUCUUUCAUAAUUUGUUUUGUCAUCUUUCAUAAUAUAUGUAUGAGGAGUGUGAAUUUAAUUUUAGAUGCUUUAUUCAUUGAUAAUCCAUCUCAGAUUCUCUGUGAGCACUCAUGAUAAUGAAUGUAUUUGAUGUUCAGGUGGCUUCUCUGUGCUUUCAUUUUGCAGUUUUGCAGCUGAGUAAUCGAUAAUUCAAGGUACACAGAACAUUAAAAAAAAGUCUCAGUUAUUAUAAUGAAAGUACAAAUUGGUUUUUCCAGGCUUUUAAAAACUUUAAAGCCUUACUGGGUUGUAAGGAAAGUCUAUAUAAGUUUUUCCUUCUGAAUUAAGUUCUAGGCAGUACGAUAAAAUAGAGUCCCCAAGAGUUCUCCCGUGGCUCAGCAGGUUAAGGAUCCCAUGUUGUCACUGUAGUGGCUUGGGUCACUGCUGUGGCAUGGGUUUGAUCCCUGGCUGGGAACUUCUGCAUGGCGAGAGUGUAGCCUCCUCCCAC